rnacentral:rRNA from 1 species
GAUGAACGCUGGCGGCGUGCCUAAUACAUGCAAGUCGAGCGAACGGACGAGAAGCUUGCUUCUCUGAUGUUAGCGGCGGACGGGUGAGUAACACGUGGAUAACCUACCUAUCAGACUGGGAUAACUUCGGGAAACAGGAGCUCAUACCGGAUAAUAUUUUGUACCGCAUGGUUCAAAAGUGAAAUACUGUCUUGCUGUCACUUAUACAUGGAUCCGCGCUGCAUUAGCUAGUUGGUAAUGUAACGGCUUCCAAAGGCAACGAUGCGUAGCCGACCUGAGAGGGGGAUUGGCCACACGGGAACUGAGACACGGUCCAGACUCCUACGGGAGGCAGCAGUCGGGAAUCGUACGCAAGGGGCGAAAGCCUGACGGAGCAACGGGGCGUGAGUGAUGAAGGUCCUCGGAUCGGAAAGCUCUGUUAUUAGGGGAGAACAUAUGUGUAAGUAACCGGGCAGAUAUUGACGGUACCUAAUCAAAAAGCCACGGCUAACUACGUG